rnacentral:rRNA from 1 species
CCUAGGGGGGGCAGCAGUGGGGAAUAUUGCGCAAUGGGCGAAAGCCUGAUGCAGCGACGCCGCGUGAGGGAUGAAGGUCUUCGGAUCGUAAACCUCUGUCAGCAGGGAAGAACGGUCACUGUGCUAAUCAGCAGUGAAUUGACGGUACCUGCAAAGGAAGCACCGGCUAACUCCGUGCCAGCAGCCGCGGUAAUACGGCGUGUGCGAGCGUUAAUCGGAAUUACUGGGCGUAAAGCGCUCGUAGGCGGUAUGGCAAGUCAAGGGGGAAAUCCCCGCGCUCAACGUGGGAACUGCCUUUGAAACUGUCAAACUGGAGUGUGUGAGAGGUUGGUGGAAUUCCAGGUGUAGGAGUGAAAUCCGUAGAUAUCUGGAGGAACAUCAGUGGCGAAGGCGACUAUCUGGCACAUAACUGACGCUGAGGAGCGAAAGCGUGGGUAGCAAACAGGAUUAGAUACCCCGGUAGUC